rnacentral:rRNA from 1 species
CCCUUAGAUGUUCUGGGCCGCACGCGCGCUACACUGACCACGGCAGCGAGUUUAUCACCUUGGCUGAAGAGUCAUGGGUAAUCUUUUGAAAAGUGGUCGUGAUGGGGAUAGAUCCUUGCAAUUCUUGAUCUUGAACGAGGAAUUCCUAGUAAGCGUGAUUCAUCAGAUCGCGUUGAUUACGUCCCUGCCCUUUGUACACACCGCCCGUCGCACCUACCGAUUGGAUGAUCCGGUGAAGUCUUCGGAGAGUGAGCUGACGUGGGGCGACUCACUGGCUCGUUCAAAGUUGAUUAAACCUUACCAUCUAGAGGAAGGAGAAGUCGUAACA